UGAGAUGAAGGCCCUUGCCGUGUGAUGA
rnacentral:piRNA from 1 species